GACGAACGCUGGCGGCGUGCUUAACACAUGCAAGUCAAGGGGACCCGCAAGGGUAACCGGCGAACGGGUGCGUAACACGUGAGCAAUCUGCCUAGAUGUGGGGGAUAGCCGGCCCAACGGCCGGGUAAUACCGCAUACGCUCUUCGACUGGCAUCGGUUGAAGAGGAAACUUUCGAGGCAUCUAGAGGAGCUCGCGGCCUAUCAGCUAGUUGGUGGGGUAACGGCCUACCAAGGCAGUGACGGGUAGCUGGUCUGAGAGGAUGGCCAGCCACAUUGGGACUGAGAUACGGCCCAGACUCCUACGGGAGGCAGCAGUGGGGAAUAUUGCGCAAUGGCCGAAAGGCUGACGCAGCGACGCCGCGUGGGGGAUGAAGCAUUUCGGUGUGUAAACCCCUGUUGCUCGGGACGAACAAGCCUUUUCGAGGGCUCUGACGGUACCGAGUGAGGAAGCACCGGCUAACUCCGUGCCAGCAGCCGCGGUAAUACGGAGGGUGCGAGCGUUGUCCGGAAUCACUGGGCGUAAAGGGCGCGUAGGCGGUCUGCUAAGCGUGUGGUGAAAGCUCGGGGCUCAACCCCGAGUCGGCCAUGCGAACUGGUGGACUAGAGCACUGUAGAGGCAGGUGGAAUUCCGGGUGUAGCGGUGGAAUGCGUA
rnacentral:rRNA from 1 species